AUGGCAUCUGACACCCACCAUGUUAAAAAACGAAACUUCUCUAAUAGUAUUGAGGAUCAUCCCAUUGAUCUUCCUAGAAAGAGGAUCUCUAAUUUCACUAGUAAGAACAUGAAGGAGGUUAAGAAAUCUCCAAAACAGUUGGCUGCUUACAUAAGUAGAACAGUUGGACAAGCUGUGAAAAGCCCAGAUAAACUGCGCAAGGUGCUCUAUCACAAAAAGUUAGUUCGUCAUCCCUUUCCAAAUCCUUGUUACAGAACUAAGCAGUCCCCUAAAAGUGGGGGCUGUGACAUG